CCUACGGUGGGCAGCAGUGGGGAAUAUUGGGCAAUGGGCGCAAGCCUGACCCAGCAACGCCGCGUGAAGGAAGAAGGCUUUCGGGUUGUAAACUUCUUUUCUCAGGGACGAAGCAAGUGACGGUACCUGAGGAAUAAGCCACGGCUAACUACGUGCCAGCAGCCGCGGUAAUACGUAGGUGGCAAGCGUUAUCCGGAUUUACUGGGUGUAAAGGGCGUGUAGGCGGGGACGCAAGUCAGAUGUGAAAACCACGGGCUCAACCUGUGGCCUGCAUUUGAAACUGUGUUUCUUGAGUACUGGAGAGGCAGACGGAAUUCCUAGUGUAGCGGUGAAAUGCGUAGAUAUUAGGAGGAACACCGGUGGCGAAGGCGGCCUGCUGGACUGUGACUGACGUUGAGGCCCGAAGGCGUGGGGAGCAAACAGGAUUAGAUACCCGGGUAGUC
rnacentral:rRNA from 1 species